GACGAACGCUGGCGGCGUGCCUAAUACAUGCAAGUGGAACGCAUUGGUAACACCGGACUUGCUCCAGUGUUACUAAUGAGUCGCGAACGGGUGAGUAACGCGUAGGUAACCUGCCUGAUAGCGGGGGAUAACUAUUGGAAACGAUAGCUAAUACCGCAUAAGAGGAGUUAACUCAUGUUAACUGUUUAAAAGAAGCAAUGGCUUCACUAUCAGAUGGACCUGCGUUGUAUUAGCUAGUAGGUAGGGUAACGGCCUACCUAGGCAACGAUACAUAGCCGACCUGAGAGGGUGAACGGCCACACUGGGACUGAGACACGGCCCAGACUCCUACGGGAGGCAGCAGUAGGGAAUCUUCGGCAAUGGACGCAAGUCUGACCGAGCAACGCCGCGUGAGUGAAGACGGUUUUCGGAUCGUAAAGCUCUGUUGUAGGGGAAGAACGUGUGUAAGAGUGGAAAGCUUACACAAGUGACCG
rnacentral:rRNA from 1 species